CCUACGGGUGGCAGCAGUAGGGAAUAUUGCUCAAUGGGGGAAACCCUGAAGCAGCAACGCCGCGAGGAGGAUGAAGGUUUUCGGAUUGUAAACUCCUUUUGUUAGAGAAGAUAAUGACGGUAUCUAACGAAUAAGAACCGGCUAACUCCGUGCCAGCAGCCGCGGUAAUAAGGAGGGUGCAAGCGUUACUCGGAAUCACUGGGCGGAAAGAGCGCGUAGGCGGGAUAGCAAGUCAGAUGUGAAAUCCUAUGGCUUAACCAUAGAACUGCAUUUGAAACUGUUAUUCUAGAGUAUGGGAGAGGUAGGUGGAAUUCUUGGUGUAGGGGUAAAAUCCGUAGAGAUCAAGAGGAAUACUCAUUGCGAAGGCGACCUGCUAGAACAUAACUGACGCUGAUGCGCGAAAGCGUGGGGAGCAAACAGGAUUAGAUACCCCUGUAGUC
rnacentral:rRNA from 1 species